rnacentral:rRNA from 1 species
UACGGAAGGCAGCAGUGGGGAAUAUUGCACAAUGGGCGCAAGCCUGAUGCAGCCAUGCCGCGUGUAUGAAGAAGGCCUUCGGGUUGUAAAGUACUUUCAGCGGGGAGGAAGGCGGUGAAGUUAAUAGCUUCACCGAUUGACGUUACCCGCAGAAGAAGCACCGGCUAACUCCGUGCCAGCAGCCGCGGUAAUACGGAGGGUGCAAGCGUUAAUCGGAAUUACUGGGCGUAAAGCGCACGCAGGCGGUCUGUCAAGUCGGAUGUGAAAUCCCCCGGGCUUAACCUGGGAACUGCAUUCGAAACUGGCAGGCUAGAGUCUUGUAGAGGGGGUAGAAUUCCAGGUGUAGCGGUGAAAUGCGUAGAGAUCUGGAGGAAUACCGGGUGGCGAAGGCGGCCCCUGGGACAAGACUGACGCUCAGGGUGCGAAAGCGUGGGGAGCGAAACAGGAUUAGGAUACC